UUCUUCUCCCCACGCCCCACCGCUUCUCUCUGUUUCUCGAAGAAACAGAGAGAGCGUGGGAGGCGGUGGGAUAAAACCGAAGUUUUCGAUUUUCUUUAUUUUCUUCUUUUUACAACUUAACAGUUUAGUCCUUGAAAUUUCCAUAUUUACAUAUAGGUCCUUCGAUUUAUAAAUAAAUCUUUAUUAAUAAUUUUCAAAAGUGAGGGAUAUUACA
rnacentral:lncRNA from 1 species